ACCGACGUAGUCUAAUGGUAAAACGUGGUGCUUUCAUCUCCUAUUUCAGGGUUCGAUUCCCUGGGUCGGUA